rnacentral:rRNA from 1 species
CCUACGGGUGGCAGCAGUGGGGAAUAUUGGGCAAUGGGCGCAAGCCUGACCCAGCAACGCCGCGUGAAGGAAGAAGGCUUUCGGGUUGUAAACUUCUUUUGUCAGGGAAGAGUAGAAGACGGUACCUGACGAAUAAGCCACGGCUAACUACGUGCCAGCAGCCGCGGUAAUACGUAGGUGGCAAGCGUUGUCCGGAUUUACUGGGUGUAAAGGGCGUGUAGACGGGUUGACAAGUCAGAUGUGAAAUCCUGCGGCUUAACUGGAGAACUGCAUUUGAAACUGUCGAUCUUGAGUACUGGAGAGGCAGAUGGAAUUCCUAGUGUAGCGGUGAAAUGCGUAGAUAUUAGGAGGAACACCAGUGGCGAAGGCGGUCUGCUGGACAGCAACUGACGGUGAGGCGCGAAAGCGUGGGGAGCAAACAGGAUUAGAUACCCGAGUAGUC